rnacentral:misc_RNA from 1 species
GAAUCACACCUCCACUACCAUUACUCAUCUUACUCUCAAUUACCCCUUCUAAUUCUUUAAUCUUAUUAAGCAUCUGGAUUUUAUCACAUGAAAAUGAAAACUCCUUAUCCAUUUGAACAAUUUGUAAGUUUUUCAAAUGCCCUUCACUCAAUUCCCCUUUCUCAAUCUUGUUAAAAAGCUCUUUCACUACACUUUCUGGUUCACCUUCACCAACCAAAACUGGGUUCUUUUUCUUACUUCUCAACAAUAUCUCUAACACCUUUUUCACUUCUUCACCUCUUUGUAGACUACCCAAUUGUCCUCCUACCCCCACCCCACCCCCACCUCCACCUCCCUGCAAUUUUGGAUUCAAA